rnacentral:snRNA from 1 species
AGCUUUGCACAAUGGCAGUAUCAUAGCCAACAAUGUUUAUCCAAGGCACAGUUACUGCUAAUUGAAAACUUUUCCCAUAUUAUCUG